GAUGAACGCUGGCGGCGUGCCUAAUACAUGCAAGUCGAGCGAACGGACGAGAAGCUUGCUUCUCUGAUGUUAGCGGCGGACGGGUGAGUAACACGUGGAUAACCUACCUAUAAGACUGGGAUAACUUCGGGAAACCGGAGCUAAUACCGGAUAAUAUUUUGAACCGCAUGGUUCAAAAGUGAAAGACGGUCUUGCUGUCACUUAUAGAUGGAUCCGCGCUGCAUUAGCUAGUUGGUAAGGAACGGCUUACCAAGGCAACGAUGCAUAGCCGACCUGAGAGGGUGAUCGGCCACACUGGAACUGAGACACGGUCCAGACUCCUACGGGAGGCAGCAGUAGGGAAUCUUCCGCAAUGGGCGAAAGCCUGACGGAGCAACGCCGCGUGAGUGAUGAAGGUCUUCGGAUCGUAAAACUCUGUUAUUAGGGAAGAACAUAUGUGUAAGUAACUGUGCACAUCUUGACGGUACCUAAUCAGAAAGCCACGGCUAACUACGUG
rnacentral:rRNA from 1 species